CUUCCUGCCCAAUCGUGUGGCUGCAGGCUCCCUUAGCGGACGACUCCAAUGGAAACUCGUCCCGGAUACCACGGCCCCGUGGAGACUCACCGAUGGCCGAUGACCCUGCGGAGGAGGGUGAUGGGUCUCUUCGCGCAGCCCCAGCCGCGCCGCUCAGCACCAGCACCCAGCGAGUCCCGCCAGCCCCGGCGCCGCCGCCUCGCCGCAUCCUGCGGCUCCGGGCUCCCCUGUUCCGUGCGCUGCUUCUCCCGAUUUCAUUUUGCGGAUCGCUCGGGCACUGUGGCUCCAGCGAGACUGUGGCUGGGGGCGACGCGGGACAUUUAUCAUCUCCUAAGUAUCAAUGAUGCUUUCAAUAACUCAACGAAACAACAUACCUGCACCCAGUGUCUGUGAUCCUGACCCUAGAGCCCAACGCGGCUCAGAACUGGGAAAGCGCGGUGCCCUUUUUUUUCCCACGUUACGUCUCUGGCAGAAAAAGGCUGAAGUAAUUCAGACUCAGCGCGAUUAGACCUCAGCUUUGGGGAGAAGAUCUAAUCGCCCA